AUGGCAUCAAGCCAUCAAUGCAGUAGUGUGUCAUGUGAAAGUGAAAGUCAAAAAAAUUGGUACGUGGGCAAAGAACAACUAGGGACUGCAAUGCUCUGUGUCGCAUGGACGAACGCAUGGCACAGAGCAAACCUCUGUAGAUUCAGACAUGGACGUCGGACCGUAGAUUCAGACGUGGACUGCAGGAUCAAACCUUUGUCUGUUAUCUGUGUGACCAGAAGGAGGACACUGUGGACCACAUAUUACUUCAGUGCGUUUUUGCUCGACAGGUCUGGUUCCUCGGUUGCACGAGACUUGGCAUAG
rnacentral:rRNA from 1 species